UUAUUCGAAAACAACAAUAAAAAUAUAGGUCACCGAUGAGUUAAAAAAGAUAUUUCAAUUUUUAUGCCAAAAAAUGGCAUUUUUGCACCAAAGGGAGAUAAUUUGAAGCUUUUUCAAUGACAUCUACAUUUUAAAAGUCGCUGGGCCAACACGAAUUGAUUUUUUGGAAUGAUUUUUGUACCAUAUGAUAAAGUAACAGCUACUUAAGGUAAUCAAUAAAAUUUGUAAUGAAAAAUUAAUGUUUAAUUUUUUUCUGAAAAUCUUAUACCCGCGAGCCUCCUUAAU
rnacentral:lncRNA from 1 species